AGCUUUUUGCAGUGGCAGUAUCGUAGCCAAUGAGGUUUAUCCGAGGUGCGAUUAUUGCUAAUUGAAAACUUUUCCCAGAGAUUAUAUCCUGUUCAUUGAGUUCUUUUAGCUUUUUAUUUGGA
rnacentral:snRNA from 14 species